GCUGCUGUAGCUCAGUUGGUAGAGCACGUCCUUGGUAAGGACGGGGUCACCGGUUCAAAUCCGGUCAGCAGCU
rnacentral:tRNA from 1 species